rnacentral:rRNA from 1 species
AGAGUUUGAUCCUAGCUCAGAGUGAACGCUAGCGGUACGCUUUACACAUGCAAGUCGAACGCAAAAUAUAAAAUGUUUUGAGUGGCGAACGGGUGAGUAACGCGUAGGAAUCUACCUAAUAGACCGGGAUACUUAUAUUGAUCCUAGAUCAAGAAAACUGGAUUUUUUCUAGUGUAAUAAUACCGGAUAAUAAAUAAAGAUUUAUCGCUAUUAGAUGAGCCUGCGUAGGAUUAUUGGUAAUUGUUGGUAGGGUAAUGGCCUACCAAGCCUACGAUCCUUAGCUGGUCUGAGAGGAUGAUCAGCCACACUGGGACUGAGACACGGCCCAGACUCUUACGGGAGGCAGCAGUGGGGAAUAUUGGACAAUGGGCGAAAGCCUGAUCCAGCAAUACCGCGUGAGUGAUGAAAGCUAUUUUGGCUGUAAAGCUCUUUCCACGAGGAAGAUAAUGACUGUACUCGUGAAAGGAAGCCCCGGCUAACUUCGUGCCAGCAGCCGCGGUAAUACGAAGGGGGCAAGUGUUAUUCGGAAUAACUGGGCGUAAAGGGCAUGUAGGCGGUUUAUUAAGUUUUAAGUGAAAUCCCAGAGCUUAACUUUGGAAGUGCUUAGAAAACUAAUAGACUAGAGUUUGAUAGAGGAUAGUGGAAUUUCCAGUGUAGAGAUAGAAUUCGAUAAUAUUGGAAAGAACAUCAAGAGCGAAGGCUACUAUCUGGGUCAAUACUGACGCUGAGAUGCGAAAGCGUGGGGAGCAAACAGGAUUAGAUACCCUGGUAGUCCACGCCGUAAACGAUGAGUGUUAAACAUUUUAUUAUAUAGAAUGAAGUGAUUACAGCUAACGCGUUAAACACUCCGCCUGGGGAGUACGAUCGCAAGUUUGAAACCCAAAGGAAUUGACGGGGGCUUACACAAGCGGUGGAGCAUGUGGUUUAAUUCGAAACAACGCGCAAAACCUUACCAAUCCUUGACAUAUUAUAAAAUGUAUAGCUUAAUCGCUAUAUUUAACUUUUAAUACAGGCGCUGCAUGGCUGUCGUCAGCUCGUGUUGUGAAAUGUUAGGUUAAGUCCUUUAACGAGCGCAACCCUCAUCUUUAGUUGCUAAGUAUUGUAUUUAUACAAUGCAGGACUCUAGAGAAACUGCCUGUGAUAAGCAGGAGGAAGGUGGGGAUGACGUCAAGUCCUCAUGGCCCUUAAGGAUUGGGCUACACACGUGCUACAAUGGUGAUGACAAUGGGAAGCAAUGGUGCGAGCCAAAGCGAAUCCUUAAAAGUCACCUCAGUUCGGAUUGUUCUCUGCAACUCGAGAGCAUGAAGUCGGAAUCGCUAGUAAUCGCAGAUCAGCACGCUGCGGUGAAUAUGUACCUAAGCCUUGUACACACCGCCCGUCAUGCC